rnacentral:lncRNA from 1 species
UAGUUGUACUGUUGAGAAGAUGUAACAUCUUUCACCACAUUCAAUUCAAUAAUCUAGCAAGUAAUAAAAUGAUAUUUACCUGUUAAAGAAGAAAGAUGUUGACAGAUAGAUGCUUCACAGCAAGACUGAUUGACUCACAAUGACAAUGCAUCAGCAAUGGCCUAAAAAUGAGCUUUAACGGAAGAACAACACAAAAUAAGAUAGAUUGAGGAGUAUUUUGUCAUUUUAUUUAUUUUAUUCCAGAACAAAUUAUUCUGAUAUUAUUCCAUUAACAAGGAGGAAUAACUUAUCUCAGUACUAAUUUUUAAUCCUACAACAAGUUAUUUCAGACUUUGAAACCAAUCAAGGCAUUAAGAG